UUCCGGUUGAUCCCGCCGGACCCGACUGCUAUCGGAGUGGGGCUAAGCCAUGCGAGUCGUACGCUUCUUGACUGCAAGAGGCGUGGCGAACGGCUCAGUAACACGUAGCUAACUUAACCUAGAGACGUGGAUAACCCCGGGAAACUGGGACUAAUCCGCGAUAGAUCAAGGCUCCUGGAAUGGGCUUUGGUCGAAAGGGAUGGACAAGCAUGUUUUGUCCACCUGCUCUAGGAUAGGGCUGCGGCCGAUCAGGUUGUUGGUGGGGUAAUGGCCCACCAAGCCUAUAACCGGUACGGGCUUUGAGAGAAGGAGCCCGGAGAUGGACACUGAGACAAGGGUCCAGGCCCUACGGGGCGCAGCAGGCGCGAAACCUUCGCAAUACGCGAAAGCGUGACGAGGUCACUCCGAGUGCCACUCGCUGAGGGUGGCUUUUCCCAAGUCUAAAAAGCUUGGGGAAUAAGGGGAGGGUAAGUCUGGUGUCAGCCGCCGCGGUAAUACCAGCUCCCCGAGUGGUCGGGACGUUUAUUGGGCCUAAAGCAUCCGUAGCCGGUCUUGUAGGUCUUCUGUUAAACCCAACGGCCCAACCGUUGGACUGCAGAAGAUACCGCAGGACUAGGAGGCGGGAGAGGCGGACGGUACUCCAUGGGUAGGGGUAAAAUCCUUUGAUCCAUGGAAGACCACCAGUGGCGAAGGCGGUCCGCCAGAACGCGCUCGACGGUGAGGGAUGAAAGCUGGGGGGACCGGACCGGAUUAGAUACCCCGG
rnacentral:rRNA from 1 species